CCACUCGUAGCUCAGCUGGAUAGAGCGCACCCCUCCGGAGGGUGAGGCCGCAGGUUCGACUCCUGCCGAGUGGGCCA
rnacentral:tRNA from 2 species